CAUUAAUAUUUUAUUCGUCUCAUUUUCAAUUCGUGUCUAAUUUCAUCGUUGUUUCUUCGUUCAUGUUGCCUGUUCUGUGAUUUGCUUCUGGCGUUCAGAGACAUACUUAUAGAAGCACAUGAUUUGUUCGUUGUUGGUGAAUUGCAUGUUCAGUGAUUUAAGCGUCUGAUCUGGUGGCUCGUUAGUCGCACGUCUCGGGUUUGUCACAUAUUUUAGUAUUACAUUGUAUUAUUUUUUAUUGUAAAAAUUAGUGCAUCCCGAGACGGUAGCGUUCCGGUUUGAAGCCGCUAACGAACACCAGAUCCCAGGUAACAGGCUGACGAGCCUCAUAUUAUUAUUAUACAUUUAUUAUUGUGUUGAGCCAGCAGGGCUACCUAUUAGUUUUUUAACACAUUAUUAUAUUGUUGAGCCAACAAGGCUACCUAGUCAUUUAUAUUGUUUUGUAUAUUUUUGGUAAAAAUAAAGUUAUCAUUAUCAAAAGUUG